rnacentral:rRNA from 1 species
UACGCAGGCGGAAAAUUAAGUCAGUGGUGAAAUCCUGCAGCUUAACUGUAGAACUGUCAUUGAUACUGGUUUUCUUGAAUAUAGUUGAGGUAGGCGGAAUGUGUAAUGUAGCGGUGAAAUGCUUAGAUAUUACACAGAACACCGAUUGCGAAGGCAGCUUACUAAGCUACGAUUGACGCUGAGGUACGAAAGCGUGGGGAGCGAACAGGAUUAGAUACCCUGGUAGUCC